rnacentral:pre_miRNA from 1 species
AGUGGGAUAGCUGGAUCAAAUAUGGUUCCAUUCCAAAUUUUCUGAGGAAUCUCCAUAUUGCUUUCCAGACUGGUUGCACUAAUUUGCAGUCCCAUAAGCAAU